rnacentral:lncRNA from 1 species
AUUUAAACGUUCUUGAAGACUCAAGGCCUGUUUUAGGCUGUAAUGUACAGCAGAGGUUUGGGUCUGGUUUUGUAGUGUUUCUGUCUCCACCGUCCUUGUUCUGCUGUGAGCACUCACUUCUCUCUGAGAUCCAUGUUUGCCUCUAGCAAUCCAACUGAUUCUCAUGAGACCAGUAGACCUACAUCCCUGCUUACCUGACUGCCAAUUUACCUGCCUACUGCCUUUUCUUUCUUUCUGCCUGCCAGUCUACCUGUAUGUCUGCCACACAGACCAUAAUAAUUCAAAUAUUUAUCAACUGUUAAAAAGCCUUGUGGGGUGGUGAACAGCAUGAGAUAAGAAUCUCAGCCUUUCCACCGAUUUCUGUAUAUAACCUGAGUGAAUCACUUUUCUGAAUCUGUGUUCUCAUUUAUAAAUAAGGAUUAUAUUUAAACUCUUUAAAGAAAGGAAUUCUGUGCAGAUAGUAGGUGCUCAAUAAAUGUUUGUGGAAUAACAGAUUGGCAUGAGGGCCAAAUUAAUUAAGACAAUAAUGUAACUAUUGCUGCUGUCAUUGAAUGAGAGCCUUUAGCAGGUCCUCUAUUUAUCUUGGAGGCUGUCAUUUCUAAUCAGCUAUACCCUAGAAAGCAGGCCAAAUUUGCUAAAAAAGUGUGCCUUAAAUAAGAGACUCUAUGCUCAAAGCAGAAAAGAAUAUAGGCUUUUCACUUAAAUAUUUACAGAGAACCUAUGCUGUGCCAGUCUGAGUGCUAGAUGCCAGGGUGCUAAAGUGAGCAAGACAAUUCCUCAAGCCCUUAAGUCUUCAAGGAAUUCACAAUCUAAUGGGAGAGGCAGGCAAAUAAAUUAUCUGCUUUUCUUAUUUUAUAUUUCUUCAUUUUUCAACGUAAAAUAAUUUAUUGUAGAAAAUCUGGAAAGCCUAAAAGAAGCAAAUAGGCGGUAUGUAUCAGGUUUCUCCAUUGCAAAGUUACUCUUUUUUCCCCCUUCUUUCCAUACUGCACUCUUUAAAAGAAAGUCAAUAUGUACAGUCCACACUUAAGCAGUGGGGAGAUAUGCUCCACCUCUUUGAGGGCAGAGUAUUUACAUAAAUUAUUUGGAAUUCUUCUGUACAGGAGAUUUGUCUAUUUGUCCCUGUUUAUUUACUCAGUCAUUUCUUUAUACCCGUAUGGACUCAUGGAUAUUUAUUUUAUACCUUAUUAUUAUUUUUUUUAGAGAUAGGGUCUCACCCUGUCACCCAGGCUGGAGUGCAGUGGCACAAUCAUAGUUCAGUAUAGCCUUGAACUCCUAGGCUCAAGGGAUCCUCCCACCUCAGCUUCCUGAGUAGCUGGGCAUGUGCCACCACAACUGGCUUUUUGUUGCUCAAAUGUCGUUAGCCAUUGGGAGCUCUUUCAGUUGUCUCCUAUGUCCCUUUGACACACCCCCAUCAUUGUGAUUUUUGAACACUUCCUUACUUUCUAGAACUAUACGACGCUCAAGGCUCAUCUUGUAUGUUCUCUUCUUCAGCCCUAGAUCAGCCAUUUCUCUAAGGAGGCCUAGUUCCUUUUAUUGGACAAUGGUAUUAUAAACCAUGAUAUGGGCUCUGGUGUCAUUUACUUUUUAAAAGUAAAUGUUUUAAUUGGAGUAUAACAUUUAUUCAGAUUUAUUCAGAUAACAUUUAUUCAAACCAUAAGUGUAUAGUUUAACGAAAUUUUAAGAAGAGAAAUUUAAGGCAAAUUUUCCAGGUACCUGGAAUUAUAAUUGUUAACUGAUGUAUUAAUUCCAAAGUCUCACUGCAUCCAACUCAUGCAUCCCCUUCCAUACCUUCAAAACAAAAUUACCAAAAGGAAGUGGUCACAUCUGACAAG